rnacentral:siRNA from 1 species
GCGAACCGGGAAGAGCCCAGCUU